AGGGAAGGGAGAAGCUUGUUCGAGAGCUCUGUUUUGGGAGUCGGGAGACCUGGGUUCCAUUUGUAUGUACUUAAGGGAGGAAGUGAACUUCUGAUUGCUUCAGUUCUCCGAUUUCGAGAAGCACAUGCUGUUCCUUGCUUUGCCACUUGACAAAGUUGCGCGGGCGGAAUGACUAUAUAUUCCUGCCCUUCCUCGAGAGAAGCCCCCAGGAGACAAACCAGUGUCGCUUGUGUUCCUCACAGCUUAUCUCUGGUAAGCAGGGCUCUAGUUUUCAAACCUAAAGGUCUUCCAGAUGGACGCAGAGGGGA